rnacentral:rRNA from 1 species
UACGUAGGGUGCGAGCGUUGUUCGGAAUUACUGGGCGUAAAGGGCGCGUAGGCGGCACGACAAGUCGGAAGUGAAAGCCCGGGGCUCAACCCCGGAAUGUCUUUCGAAACUGUCGAGCUAGAGUGCAGAAGAGGCAACUGGAAUUCCCAGUGUAGCGGUGAAAUGCGUAGAUAUUGGGAAGAACACCUGAGGCGAAGGCGGGUUGCUGGGCUGACACUGACGCUGAGGCGCGAAAGCCAGGGGAGCGAACGGG